CUGUGAUUAGGCUAGCGGGAAUGUAAGGGCCACUUCAGCAACAGAAAGGAGUGGUGGAGCGGCUUCUCAUCAGAAAAACAGAACUUUCAGUGCCUGACUUGAGAUGUAAACUUGAUGUACAAACGGAGAGUUGUUUAUCUUUCAGAUGUUUCACAGAAUCCAGUGUCCCCGGGUUGGAUAAGAAAGAUAUGGGAAAAAUUAUUUUAGUUUUGGAAAGAUCCUCUUCAGAAAUACCACUAUCUUCCUGAAGUUUGAUGGAGAACCUUGUGACCUGUCUUUGAAUAUAACCUGGUAUCUGAAAAGCGCUGAUUGUUACAAUGAAAUCUAUAACUUCAAGGCAGAAGAAGUAGAGUUGUAUUUGGAAAAACUUAAGGAAAAAAGAGGCUUGUCUGGGAAAUAUCAAACAUCAUCAAAAUUGUUCCAGAACUGCAGUGAACUCUUUAAAACACAGACCUUUUCUGGAGAUUUUAUGCAUCGACUGCCUCUUUUAGGAGAAAAACAGGAGGCUAAGGAGAAUGGAACAAACCUUACCUUUAUUGGAGACAAAACCGCAAUGCAUGAACCAUUGCAAACUUGGCAAGAUGCACCAUACAUUUUUAUUGUACAUAUUGGCAUUUCAUCCUCAAAGGAAUCAUCAAAAGAAAAUUCACUGAGUAAUCUUUUUACCAUGACUGUUGAAGUGAAGGGUCCCUAUGAAUACCUCACACUUGAAGACUAUCCCUUGAUGAUUGUAAGUGACUUUAUAUUAUUUAACCUCAGUAUUGGAUGGUUUUGGGUUCAAAGAUUGUCCCAUGUUUUGUGGCAGUAUUCUUUUUAAUGAAUUGUUCCUGUGCAAUUCAGAAAAUGUUGCUUGUAGUCCUGGAUUUAUUUCUUAUUAGACUGGGACUUUGAGAGAGUCAGUAUACCCUUGUGUGCCUCAUUUUCUUAUCCAUAUAAUGAAGGGGUCAGUGACCUGUGGAAAUACCUCAAAGAUCAUCUCACAUUCUCUCUAGGAUGCAUAGUGGGGCACUUUUUACUACAACUCUAUUGUUUCUGAUCCCACUUACAUUAACUAAAUGAGGCUGG
rnacentral:lncRNA from 1 species